CUCACAGAGAUGUCACACUCCAGGGAAUGGAUUGGACCAGGCACAACAGGCUCAUUGGGAGAUGCCACCCUGAGAGUGUUUAUAAAACUUUUUCUUGUGACAAUGUGACAACAAAUGAGUAAGCCUAGUGUGGAAGAGCAGGAAGAUCAUCUAAGCCAGUCCAGUUGAAACUUUUCUUUUUAAGUUCCAGACAGUUUUAUACAAAGCAACCUAUCUGGAACCCAAUGUAAAGAACAGAUGAAGAUGGAAAUUUCCAGGCCAAAGUACACCAGUCAAGCAUCUCAAGCUGCUAUUUCAAUAUUGAAAGAAAAUAAAACCAUUCUACAGGUCAAGAGAAAUUCAGUUGUAAGUGACCAGGAUCUGCUUGAUUUUACUUCUUUCCCCAGGCCCCUUUGG
rnacentral:lncRNA from 1 species